rnacentral:rRNA from 1 species
UACGUAGGGUGCGAGCGUUAAUCGGAAUUACUGGGCGUAAAGCGUGCGCAGGCGGUUCGCUGUGUCCGAUGUGAAAGCCCCGGGCUUAACCUGGGAAUGGCAUUGGAAACUGGCGGGCUUGAGUGUGGCAGAGGGGGGUGGAAUUCCGCGUGUAGCAGUGAAAUGCGUAGAGAUGCGGAGGAACACCGAUGGCGAAGGCAGCCCCCUGGGCUAACACUGACGCUCAGGCACGAAAGCGUGGGGAGCAAACGGG